AACGGGGUGUAAGGUUUUUGGUGGUCGCGUUCGGACAAUUUGUUAGUAUUGUCCUCGAAUUUUAACUUUUGCGACGUCUCGCGGUUAUUUCGAGGCUUAUACGUGUAUUUUUGCGUGUUUGAAAGGCGAUAAUCUUUACGAUUUUUGGGCCGGAAGGGGCCGCAGACAAGAGUCUUAACGUUUUCAGGCGUGUCCUGAAAGUUUCUUUUGUGUUUUACUGAAGCGUAAACGUUUUCGAUAAAAAAGGACAACGUAUAUUGUAGUAAAAGUUUUUGAAGUUUCUAA
rnacentral:lncRNA from 1 species